GAUGAACGCUGGCGGCGUGCCUAAUACAUGCAAGUCGAGCGAACGGACGAGAAGCUUGCUUCUCUGAUGUUAGCGGCGGACGGGUGAGUAACGCGUGGAUAGCCUACCUAUAAGACUGGGAUAACUUCGGGAAACCGGAGCUAAUACCGGAUAAUAUUUUGAACCGCAUGGUUCAAAAGUGAAAGACGGUCUUGCUGUCACUUAUAGAUGGAUCCGCGCUGCAUUAGCUAGUUGGUAAGGUAACGGCUUACCAAGGCAACGAUGCAUAGCCGACCUGAGAGGGUGAUCGGCCACACUGGAACUGAGACACGGUCCAGACUCCUACGGGAGGCAGCAGUAGGGAAUCUUCCGCAAUGGGCGAAAGCCUGACGGAGCAACGCCGCGUGAGUGAUGAAGGUCUUCGGAUCGUAAAACUCUGUUAUUAGGGAAGAACAUAUGUGUAAGUAACUGUGCACAUCUUGACGGUACCUAAUCAGAAAGCCACGGCUAACUACGUG
rnacentral:rRNA from 1 species